rnacentral:rRNA from 1 species
CUAUGAGCUAUGGAUUUAUAAUUGUUUUUGUCUUAUAAAAAAAGUUAAUUUUUUCAUAGAAAUGAAAUGUUAGUCGUUUAGUUUAUAUCUAGUUCUUUGUGAUGGAAUUUAAUUCUAAUUUUUAUAAAAAUUUUGUAAAAGGAAAAUUUUUUUAGGCAUGAGCUUUGGAAAUGGAAAUUUAAAUAUUAAUAUUGAUUUGAACUAUAAGUAGGUUUAAUAGUAAUUAUCUUAUAAGUUUAUUAUAAAUUAUGAUGUAUAGAAUUUAGUUAAUUUAUAUUAGUUUAUUUUUAAUAGUAAAGUGUUAUAUAUAAUUGAAUUGUAUAAGAAAUUAUGAUUAAAUUAGUAUAGAUUGAUAAUGUUAUGUUUAAUUUUUAAUAAUUUAUUUAUUAUUUUAGUAAGUAAAAAGAGAUAAAAAAGGAAUUCGGCAAAUGUACCUUUUGCCUGUUUAUCAAAAACAUGUCUUUAUGGGAAAAUGUAAAGUCUAGCCUGCCCACUGAAUUUUAAAGGGCUGCGGUAUUUCUGACCGUGCAAAGGUAGCAUAAUCAAUAGUCUUUUAAUUGGAGGCUGGAAUGAAUGGUUGGACAAAAGGGUAUCUGUCUCGUUUAUUAAAUUUGAAUUUAAUUAUUGUGUGAAAAAGCAUAAAUGUUUUAAAGGGACGAGAAGACCCUAUAAAACUUUAUAUAUAGUUUUUUUUUAGGAGAAGUUAAAUUAAAUUUUAAUUAAAGAUUAAUAUUUAGUUGGGGUGAUUGAGAUAUAAUUAAUUAACUGUCUAUAAUAUUUAAUAAGUAUAAUUAGAAAAUGACCUUAAAUUUUAGGUUAUAAGUUAAAGUUACUUUAGGGAUAACGAG